AGCAGCCGCGGUAAUUCCAGCUCCAAUAGCGUAUAUUAAAGUUGUUGCAGUUAAAAAGCUCGUAGUUGAAUUUCGGAAUCUGUCCAUCGGUCGGGCUUCACUGUCCGUACUGGUGUGGUGGGUUCUUACCUUCUGAAUAACCAGCAUGCCAUUCACUUGGUGCGCUGGGGAAGCAGGACUAUUACCUUGAAAAAUUAGAGUGCUCAAAGCAGGCUAGUGCCUGAAUACAUUAGCAUGGAAUAAUAAAAUAGGACGGCAUGGUUCUAUUUUGUUGGUUUCUAGGAUCACCGUAAUGAUUAAUAGGGAUAGUUGGGGGCAUUAGUAUUCAAUUGUCAGAGGUGAAAUUCUUGGAUUUAUUGAAGACUAACUUCUGCGAAAGCAUUUGCCAAGGAUGUUUUCAUUAAUCAAGAACGAAAGUUAGGGGAUCGAAGACGAUCAGAUACCGUCGUAGUCUUAACCAUAAACUAUGCCGACUAGGGAUCGGACGAUGUAAUUUUAAUGACUCGUUC
rnacentral:rRNA from 1 species